CUUCGGGGUGUAAACUACUGUCAGGGGUAAGAAAGUUCUGAUCUACCCCAGAGGAAGGGACGGCUACUCUGUGCCAGCAGCCGCGGUAAGACAGAGGUCCCGAGCGUUAGGCGGAAUCACUGGGCUUAAAGCGUGUGUAGGCGGAUUUGUAAGUACCUUGUGAAAUCCCACGGCUCAACCGUGGAACUGCUUGGUAUACUGCUUAUCUUGGGCCACUUAGGGGUUACCGGAACAAACGGUGGAGCGGUGAAAUGCGUAGAUAUCGUUUGGAACGCCAAUGGUGAAAACAGGUAACUGGGAGUGUGCCGACGCUGAGACACGAAAGCCAGGGGAGCGAACGGGAUUAGAUACCCCGGUAGUCCUGGCUGUAAACGAUGUCGACUAGAUUGUGGCGGCUCUGACGCCGUCACGGUCGAAGCAAAAGUGCUAAGUCGACCGCCUGGGAAGUACGGUCGCAAGGCUAAAACUCAAAGGAAUUGACGGGGGCUCACACAAGCGGUGGAG
rnacentral:rRNA from 1 species